UGGCGAACGGGUGAGUAAUAUAUCGGAACGUACCCUGGAGUGGGGGAUAACGUAGCGAAAGUUACGCUAAUACCGCAUACGAUCUAAGGAUGAAAUGGGGGAUUCGCAAGAACCUCAUGCUCGUGGAGCGGCCGAUAUCUGAUUAGCUAGUUGGUAGGGUAAAAGCCUACCAAGGCGACGACGGGUAGCCGGCCUGAGAGGGCGACCGGCCACACUGGGACUGAGACACGGCCCAG
rnacentral:rRNA from 1 species